AUGGUGAACAGAAAGCUCAAGGAAGGGUCAGAACUGCUCAUAUUAAUUUUAGGGUGGUGGGCAGGAUGGUUCCUUGGUGCAAUUUAAGAUUAACAGGCAUACACCACUUAGUAAACUAAUGAAAGCCUAUUGUGAAUAGCAAGGCUUGUCAAUGAGGCGGAUCAGAUUCCAAUUUGUCAGAUGGCCAAUCAAUGAAACAGACACACCUGCAGAGUUGGAAGUGGAGGUUAAAGAUACAAUUGAUGUGUUUCAGCAGCAGGCAGGAGGGGUCCAGUAA
rnacentral:lncRNA from 1 species